ACAUGGGGCGAAAUUGGAAUGUUCAAACAUAAACCAUGUCCUAUCAAAGCCAUAUUUCUUCGUUGUAAGACUGAAACACUGCGGGCGUUUUUAAUUUGACUGAGGAGGUUUUAAUCAUGUUUAUUAGAGGAUUAUUCCAAUUCCUUUUGUUGAUGUGCCUGAUCACCAAGAUUGUAGGUAAUGUGACAGUUUACAUUCAUAUUGAUCAAGUGGUAAUACACAACACGACAGCAGUCAAAGAUGGAUGUCAUAACUGUGGGUUGCACAUCUAUUUUUGUAUUAGGGGUAGCAGUACACAGUGUGACGAGUCGACAUCUGCCUGGAUCAACAUGACGGGGUUCCAGUCCCGGGUGAUUGGAGAGGAUAUCGGCGACAAACUGAACCCCAUUCAAAUGGAUGUUAACCAUACGAUGGGACCUUCGUCUAUUCUAAAAGUGUCAGUUUACAACAACGAUACUUCAAGCCUCGUUUUGGAGCAGACAUUGAAUGGAGCUGAUCAGUGGACUAACGGAAGUCAGUACAUGCUCUCAUACGACCAAUACAAGACACUGGAUCUACAUAACAAUUUUAUUAGUGUUACGCUAACAUCCUGGUUCUUUUGCUCUGAUGGUUACCAUGGACCAAAAUGCUCUGUGUAUUGUCCCGGAGAUCCUCAUAAAUGCGUAGUCAGUGGUGUGCAGUAUUGCAAGAAUGGAUGGCAUGGUCAGGAUUGUGAAAAAAAUGUCAACGAGUGCAAGUACGCAUGCGCUAAUUCCUAUGGAAAAUGUGAAGACACCUUAGGUGGUUUUAUUUGCCAUUGUACAGAAUACGCCUAUGGGAAACAGUGCAUCAUGGAUAAGGACGAAUGCGCUGAACAUCCGUGUAAUACGGGUCACUGUAUAAAUACUCUUGGCAGCCAUAACUGUUCGUGUCCAGAUGGUGUCACGGGUGAAAGUUGUCAAAAUUUAACUGCUACAUCGUGUUCUGUGUCCACGUGUUCUAACAAUGGUGCAUGCUCCGUGAAGAACGGGAAAGCCCGGUGUUCUUGUCGUUUUGGAUUCGUAGGUCCUGAUUGCUCGAUUGAAUGCAGAAUAGAUUGUCUGAAUGGUGGAUACUGUGUACGGGCACCUCAGGGCUCUCCCCAAUGCGUUUGUCCUCUAGGAUUUCGGGGCGUAAACUGUGAGCUUCAGGACUUGUGUUUCAAGCAUAUCUGUCACAAUAUGGGUACAUGUGUACAAAAAGAUUCCUCUGUAAGUUGUCUUUGUGACAAAGGCUCGUUCGGAGAUCAGUGUGAAUAUUACGAUAAAUGUUAUGAUGCCCCGUGUAAGAAUGGUGGUACCUGUAGAAAGUUGUCGAGAGGACAAUACCAGUGCAUCUGCCCACACAAUUGGACUGGGACAGACUGUGACGUGUAUAACUGUCAACGUGCAUCUCCGUGUCAAAAUCACGGGAUGUGUCUACCUACACCGAGGAAACCCGGAUAUCGCUGUGUGUGUACCUCAUCUUGGUAUGGAAAACUCUGUGAGCUACAUAAUGCUUGUGUGUCAGACCCCUGUCAAAAUGGCGCAACUUGCCUGAAUGUGUUAAAUGAGUACACGUGUAGCUGUAUGAAAGGUUACAUGGGUCGUAAUUGCGAGUAUCGCGAUUUGUGUUACUGGAAUGGUAAUUCAUGUAUUAAUGGUGGAAAUUGCAUUGUAAAUACGACGACGUGUAAUUGUACAAAAUCGUGGGCCGGUGUUCAGUGUGAGAAAAAUGUCAACGAAUGUCUUUAUAAUCCCUGUGGCGUUUAUGGCACGUGCGUGGAUACCAUCGGUGGAUACAAAUGCUCGUGUACUACAUACUGGACGGGACAAAACUGCGACAUCCAUAUGAAUUCGUGUGCAUAUAACCCCUGCAGAAAUAACGGUACCUGUCAGGAUUUGGACAAUACAUAUCUCUGUUCUUGCAAUUCUCAUUGGACAGGGCGAGAUUGUGAAAACAAUGUUGAUGAGUGUACAUUAUUAUCGCCAUGUCGAAAUGGUGGCACUUGUGUUAAUUUGUUAGGUGACUAUUCAUGUGGUUGUUCACAAGGUUGGACAGGCAAAAAUUGUGAUAUCGAUAUUGAUGAAUGUAAAUUGUUGAAUUCUUGUCCAGCACGUACAUUGUGUAAUAAUACACCUGGGUCUUAUGAAUGUUUUGACUGUUCAACAUAUACAUGUUAUCAUGAUACAAUGUGCUCAGAUACUGAACAUGGUCCGAUUUGCAACUGUUCGUCAACAGGAUGGACAGGCCAACAAUGCGACAGAAAAGAUUUCUGCCAUGACACAUGCUCUAGUUUAGAAAUAAGCAGCGGGCACUGUCCAAGUCGAUGCGGAAGAUUCUCCGACUGCAUAAACAGCGGAGAUGGGUAUGUAUGUCAUUACGAUCCCUGUAAAAGUAGUCCAUGCAAAAAUGGGGGCACUUGUUUUAAAACUCACAAUGAUUUCAAUUGCAAGUGUGAUAUACACUGGGCUGGAAAAGCCUGUGGUCAAAUUAACUAUUGUGUUAACAAUCCCUGUCAAAAUGGUGGCUCUUGUAUCAACCAAAUGGACGGGUACUUGUGUCGUUGUACCUCAGAAUGGAUAGGGACCAUUUGCACAGACAUUAAUUACUGUUAUCCCAAUCCUUGCCAACACAAUGGUGUAUGUACAUCGCUAACAAACAUGUCUACAUGCCUUUGUUCAACGGAAUGGACCGGCCGUUUGUGUGAAAGGCGCAAUUACUGUAGCAAUACACCCUGCCAAAAUGACGGAAUAUGUAUCAACGGACUGUCGAAUUACACCUGCAACUGCACUGAAUUUUGGAUCGGAACUAACUGCGAACAAUACGACUACUGCUUUUCCAACCCUUGUAAAAAUCGAGCGACCUGCCGAAAUAAUCAUGACAAUUUUGAAUGUCUUUGCCACGAAGGCUUUUCUGGAUCGAUCUGUGAACAGGCCAUCGAUCAUUGUGUUUCCUCCCCUUGUCAACACAAUGCCACCUGCACAAAUAACCCGUAUGGAUACUAUUGCCGUUGCACUAGUGGUUAUUUGGGUAGAGACUGUGCUCAGGACCUGGAUGAAUGUAAACGCGACAUGUGCCCACCACAUUCGACCUGUUACAACUACGAUGGUGGGUUUGAAUGCCGAUGGAGUAAAAGAUCAACCAGAAAGGCUAUUAGGAUAGUGAAACAUGUGUUGAUUUCGGAGUUUAACGAAGGAAUGUUAAAUGGGAGUUUUCUACAAUCUUUCAAUAUAGCUAUGUUGAAAGCAACAUGUGCUAACUCUAAGAUGGGACAUGUUAUUCCACGUGAAACAGACGUCAACAGAGGGAAACUCCGGCUAACGUUUAGUGUCCAGUGUAGAGAACGAAAGCAUGGGAAUUCUCAUCUCUCAGCAGCUGAUAUCGGCCGUUAUUGCGAUUCCCUGCUUUGUAGGACAAUCUUGGAGAAUGCGGAUCUGUUAACAAUUUAGAGUUACUGCCCUUGUUACAUUACCGAAAUAGUUGUGUGUAUCGUUUCUUUGCGUAUACAUGUAAUAAUUUACAAUAAAAUUGACAUGUACGUUUGAUAUUGACAGAUAGAGAGAAAUAAAGACAUACAAGGCACCCUUCAAGGAAUUGGAUUCUUCAGAGACUUAUAUAACUUAUCGAUGUACGUGUGCAUAUCAUGGAGGCAUUUAAAGUCUAUUCAAACCGCGCAUCUGUUUUUAAACACUGAUUGCAACUAUAAAUUCACCAUAAAGACUUAUAUAUUUCAGUCAUUUAUAUUACAACAUAGAUUCUUGUUAUUCAUUUAUUCGUCACCAUGAUUUACACACAUCUUUCCGAAAUGUACCAUGUGUGUUAGGUAAAAUAAAUUCCUCUAACAUCCGUAGAUCAACAACAACCAUUAGUUAAUUAUCUUAAUCAG